UUAUUUAUAGAGCAAGUAAACACUAAAACAUGCUGCAAUUGCAGAUGGCUGGGCCAGAUGAUCUGUCACGGUCCCUUCCAACUCCAUUUAUUUUGUGAUAUUUUAUUUUUGCCCUAGUACCUAUCACAAGGGCUAAUAAGUGAGCCAUUAUUAUGAAGGAGAAAAAAGCCCAGACAAAAAUUUUGUAUGAUUUUGUAAGUAAAAUCAAAUAAUAUGAAGGGAGGAAAUGCACUUUUUAAAGGAGGGAAUAAUUGCAUUUCUAAUUUGAUAAAACCUAAUCAACAAGAAGAUCUUCUAGUCACUUGUGCGUAGGGAGAUUCCUAUGACUACAAAACCAUAAAAGACCUGAGAGGUCAUCAGAAGAGCCCCUCAAAUUUUACAGAAAAGGCUACUGUGGCCCAGAAAGGUGAUGUGGCACACCCAGGUCUUCUGACUCCUGUCCGAAGGUCUUUUAUCCAAACCACUGUUCAAAUCAUUUUAAUAUAGAUUGUCUUCUCAAUUAAGGAACUCCUAGAAAAUUCUAGUCCUAGUAAAAGUUAAAAUAGAUACAUUCGAUAUGCUAAUGUGUGUGAUUUGUGCUUACAAUAUAAUUUUAUAAGGGGUAUAUCAAUCCAUAUAAAAUGUAAUGAUUAUCUAUAGAGACAACUUCUCCUAACUCAUAAGCUAUACCAAGAAGCUGUUUAACUCUUUUACAACAAGUACAUAACACUGAAGUAAAUUAUGGCCUCAGUGGUACAUUAUGUUAUGUCUUGUUUAAAUAAUUUCUAGAGAAACAACUUAAAUCUGGAGCUUGGCUCACAUCUGAGCUCCCCCUGGAAUCACGAGGAAUAAUCUGGCAAUGAAAUAUCCUAGCUAGAGACUUUUAUUCAUCUGCAUAAACAUAAGGAAAAUAUUUUAUUUGAGGUACUUUAGGACUCAAGCAUUUUUUUGUAGGUUUCCUUGUUUUUAACAGGAAUAUGAGAUUUUCAGGCAAGAAACAUCCUCGUGGGUUUUGAGACUAAGAGGAGAACAUCAAGAUGUUGUUAUCUAGAGCAAACAAAAAAGCAUAAACCUGCCAGGUUUGUACCCUUGCAUCACUUAGAGAUUUUUCUCAUCAAACAAUCCAAAAGGAGCAUUGGAAUAAGCUUUUGAGGAUAUGACGUGACCUUCUCCUUUCAAUACAAGAAAAGAAAUUUUGAAUAAGAAAAUCUGAAAUUUCUAUUGUUAUAAUUAUGUGCUAAUUUCAGAAUUCUUUACCUGAGAAUUGUGAGGAUUUUGUGGUCAUGAAUCUACAGCAAUCAUUAAGGAAAAUCCUAGAUGAUUUCUUUUGCCUCAGAUUCUGCAGCCCUUGCCGAAUGAAAUUUUUGUCAUCUGAGAACACCAACAUUUGUUCCCAGUUCUCUGGAGGGCAUUAGAGUCAAAAAGAGUUGUAUGAGUAUGUUCUCUAAAUGGAUUUUCCUCAACAAUCACUGAACACCUAACAAGACAACAAGAACUUGUGAUGUAUAAGAGUUUCUAGCUGAUGGGACGUCUGUUGACAUCCACAGCCUCUGAACUGGAGGAAAUCGUACAGUAUCUGUCGCAGGGUUUCACAUGCUAUUUUAAGCACUUGUGAUGAGGAAGAUUUUCUGCCAAAUAGGAUGCACCCAAGAGAGACAAAAACUAUUAAACUUUUUGGUUGCUCUAAAAAAUCCUAUUUAGCAUUACUUUAAAAUAAGUUAUUACUGAAGAGAGAAAUAACAAAAUGGAAAUCACAGCAUAUGUGUAAACCUAUUUAUGAAGCCAUUUCAGAAAAUUUUAUAAUAGAUAAUAACAGGCUAAUUGUGUGUGUGUGUGUGUAUGUGUGUUUUCUUAUAUAAUUUUUUUUGCUGUAUUGUGAAUGUCAAGUUAAUUAA
rnacentral:lncRNA from 10 species